UACGAAGGGUGCGAGCGUUGUUCGGAUUUACUGGGCGUAAAGGGCGCGUAGGCGGCCCUCCUAGUCGCGUGUGAAAGCCCCGGGCUCAACCUGGGAAUUGCGCGCGAAACGGGGGGGCUUGAGUUCGGGAGAGGAGCGUGGAAUUCCCAGUGUAGAGGUGAAAUUCGUAGAUAUUGGGAAGAACACCGGUGGCGAAGGCGGCAUCCUGGACCGGCAUUGACGCUGAGGCGCGAAAGCCAGGGGAGCAAACGGG
rnacentral:rRNA from 1 species